rnacentral:rRNA from 1 species
UGGAUGCCUUGGCACUAAGAGCCGAAGAAAGACGUGACAAGCUGCGAUAAGUUGCGGGGAGAAGCAAAUAUUUCGUGAUCCGCAGAUUUCUGAAUGGGGAAACCCGGCUGAGCAAACCUCAGUCAUCCAUACGCCAAUCCAUAACGUAUGGAAGGGAACCCGGGGAACUGAAACAUCUAAGUACCCGGAGGAAGAGAAAGAAACAUCGAUUUCCUGAGUAGCGGCGAGCGAAAGGGAAAGAGCCUAAACCGGAUCGCGUGCGAUCCGGGGUAAUGGACUGCAUAAGUGAGCUGAAAGAUAGAAGAAGGGUUUUGGGAAAGCCCGCCAUAGAGAGUGAAAGCCUCGUAAUCGAAAUCGGAAGGCAGCGGCAGUAUCCGGAGUACCACGAGACACGUGGAACCUUGUGGGAAGUCGGGGGGACCACCCCCCAAGGCUAAAUACUACUUAGUGACCGAUAGCGCAUAGUACUGUGAAGGAAAGGUGAAAAGAACCCCGGGAGGGGAGUGAAAGAGAACCUGAAACCCUGUGUUUACAAGCUGUGGAAGUCCGUUAAAGGACGACCGCGUACUUUUUGUAGAACGGUCCGGCGAGUUAUUGUUACUGGCGAGGUUAAUCACGGAAAGUGAGGAGCCGAAGGGAAACCGAGUGUGAAUAGCGCGUAAAGUCAGUGAGAAUAGACCCGAAACCGGGUGAUCUACCCAUGUCCAGGUUGAAGUUGCCGUAAAAGGCAAUGGAGGACCGAACACACAUCCGUUGAAAAGGGUGGUGAUGAGGUGUGGGUAGGGGAGAAAUUCCAAUCGAACCCGGAGAUAGCUGGUUCUCCUCGAAAUAGCUUUAGGGCUAGCCUCAGUUUAGUCUGGUGGAGGUAGAGCACUGAAUAUCCUAGGGGGCGUCAAAGCUUACCGAAGAUUAUCAAACUCCGAAUGCCAUACAGAUGAUGACUGGGAGUCAGACUGCACGAGAUAAGUUGGGUAGUCAAAAGGGAAAGAGCCCAGACCACCGGCUAAGGUCCCAAAGUGUGUGUUAAGUGGAAAAGGAUGUGGGAUUUCAAAGACAACCAGGAUGUUGGCUCAGAAGCAGCCAUACAUUAAAAGAGUGCGUAAUAGCUCACUGGUCGAGAGGUCCUGCGCCGAAAAUGUCCGGGGCUGAAACACAACACCGAAGCCGUGGAACGCGCAAGCGUUGGUAGAGGAGCAUUCUUAUUUGGAAGAAGCUGUACCGGAAGGAGCAGUGGACAGAUAAGAAGAGAGAAUGCCGGAAUGAGUAGCGAGAUAGAAGUGAGAAUCUUCUAGGCCGAAUAUCUAAGGUUUCCAGAGUAAAGCUGAUCUGCUCUGGGUAAGUCGGGGCCUAAGGCGAGGACGAGAGUCGUAGUCGAUGGAUAACAGGUUGAAAUUCCUGUACCUUGUAUAAACAGAACUGUGGGGACGCAGAGAGAAAGCCAGACCCGGUGAUGGAUACCGGGACAAGCGGGGUACCGGUGUGGCAGGAAAAACCGCCAUGCAACGGGAAGACGUGAUGUGUACCGAAAAAGAGUAGGGAAGCUGGUGAGCUAGCUGCCAAGAAAAGCCGCUAUUGUUUUAUACAAGCCCGUACCGUAAACCGACACAGGUGGAUGAGGAGAGAAUCCUAAGGCCGGCGGGAGAAGCAUUGUUAAGGAACUCGGCAAAAUGACCCCGUAACUUCGGGAGAAGGGGUGCCUGCGAGAGCAGGCCGCAGAGAAUUGGCCCAAGCAACUGUUUAGCAAAAACACAGGUCUAUGCAAAACCGUAAGGUGAGGUAUAUGGGCUGACGCCUGCCCGGUGCUGGAAGGUUAAGAGGAGAGCUUAGCGUAAGCGAAGGUUCAAAUUUAAGCCCCAGUAAACGGCGGCCGUAACUAUAACGGUCCUAAGGUAGCGAAAUUCCUUGUCGGGUAAGUUCCGACCCGCACGAAAGGCGUAAUGAUUUGGGCACUGUCUCGACAAUGCACCCGGUGAAAUUGAAAUACCAGUGAAGAUGCUGGUUACCCGCGCCAGGACGGAAAGACCCCAUGGAGCUUUACUCUAGUUUGAUACUGGGAUUCGGUAUUGCAUGUACAGGAUAGGUGGGAGGCUUUGAAAUGUGGACGCCAGUCUGCAUGGAGCUGCUGUUGGGAUACCACCCUUGCAGUAUUGGAUUUCUAACAUGUAGCCGUGAACCGGCUAGUGGACAAUGUCAGGCGGGGAGUUUGACUGGGGCGGUCGCCUCCGAAAGGGUAUCGGAGGCGCUCAAAGGUUCCCUCAGAAUGGUUGGAAACCAUUCGAAGAGUGCAAAGGCAGAAGGGAGCUUGACUGUGACACCGACGGGUGGAGCAGGUACGAAAGUAGGACUUAGUGAUCCGGUGGUAUAAAGUGGGAUUGCCAUCGCUCAACGGAUAAAAGCUACCCUGGGGAUAACAGGCUUAUCACUCCCAAGAGUUCACAUCGACGGAGUGGUUUGGCACCUCGAUGUCGGCUCAUCGCAUCCUGGGGCU